UGAUUAUUUUUAGGUAAGUGUGGGAUUUGCACACUAUAAAAUGAUAAAAUCAUAUUCAACCUUUUACAUGCAAAGAGAAAAAGUUAUGGCUGAAAUUAUCAAUUUUGUUUAUGUCACGAUUCUAUUUCUUUUCUUCUUUCAUGUCGCAACAAUAUCCGCAGAAUCACAUGAAUGUGACAUUGCUGCUGAUUGUCCACCUCAUAUGUAUUUGUAUAAAGCUACGUGUGUUAGUCGUUUGUGUAUAUAUGGAUUAAGGUGGCAUUGAGGGUGGAAUCAAUGUUGGACACUUCUUUCCUGCUUCAGUUUACACAAUGAGACUAUCAUUAUUAAUAUUGCUCUUCGAAAUGACAUUUAUCAACUUCUCUAUUUGAAAAUUUGAAAGAAAAAAAAAAUCAAUCAAUUGAAUUGAAAAUAAAGUUGUUGCAUUUCUAUCUAAUGUCUAAAGCAGUUGAUAUUGUGGAAGGUAGCCAUAACACUAAUGUAUUUGAAACCCCUUCAUCAUCACGUUAAGAUUGAAGCUCACAAAAAAGGGUAAAACCAAAUAUAAUAACCUUGAAUAGAAAAGGUAAAGUGGAAACACAACCAAAGAAAAAAAAUAUAUUUAAGGAAUACUCAGCUGAGUCACUACAAUUUUCCUAUCAGAUUUAGAGAAGACUGAGUUGAGAGUGGUUGGUGGUAUUUAAAUACAUUCACAUUGAUUAUAAUAGUUGUUAUUUAUUGUGAAAUGCAAAAUUUAUGCCAAAUUUGAAUUACUCUCUGAAUAGAGUAAUUUUUUGUACCAUACAUUGAUGCUAGUUUUUGUUUGAAAUGUGUUACUUUGAUUUUUAUAUUA